rnacentral:rRNA from 1 species
GAGGAAUUUUGGUCAAUGGACGCAAGUCUGAACCAGCCAUGUCGCGUGAAGGAGGACGGCCCUAAGGGUUGUAAACUUCUUUUGCAGUGGAAUAAAGUUUGCCACGUGUUGGCGAUUUGCAAGUACGCUGCGAAUAAGGAUCGGCUAACUCCGUGCCAGCAGCCGCGGUAAUACGGAGGAUCCAGGCGUUAUCCGGAUUUAUUGGGUUUAAAGGGUGCGCAGGCGGGGAAUUAGGUCGGCGGUGAAAUUUCGGGGCUCAACCUCGACAGUGCCGUUGAAACCGUUUCUCUUGAGUGCGGAUGAGGUAGGCGGAAUUUGUGGUGUAGCGGUGAAAUGCGUAGAUAUCACAAGGAACACCGAUUGCGGAGGCAGCUUACUAAACCGUUACUGACGCUCAUGCACGAAGGCGUGGGGAUCAAACA